UACGGAGGGUGCAAGCGUUAUCCGGAUUCACUGGGUUUAAAGGGUGCGUAGGCGGGCAGGUAAGUCAGUGGUGAAAUCUCCGAGCUUAACUCGGAAACUGCCUUUGAUACUAUCUGUCUUGAAUAUGGUGGAGGUAAGCGGGAUAUGUCAUGUAGCGGUGAAAUGCUUAGAUAUGACAUAGAACACCUAUUGCGAAGGCAGCUUACUACGCCUAUAUUGACGCUGAGGCACGAAAGCGUGGGGAUCAAACAGG
rnacentral:rRNA from 1 species